rnacentral:rRNA from 1 species
UUUAUGGAGAGUUUGAUCCUGGCUCAGGAUGAACGCUGGCGGCGUGCCUAAUACAUGCAAGUCGAGCGAACGGACGAGAAGCUUGCUUUUCUGAUGUUAGCGGCGGACGGGUGAGUAACACGUGGAUAACCUACCUAUAAGACUGGGAUAACUUCGGGAAACCGGAGCUAAUACCGGAUAAUAUUUUGAACCGCAUGGUUCAAAAGUGAAAGACGGUCUUGCUGUCACUUAUAGAUGGAUCCGCGCUGCAUUAGCUAGUUGGUAAGGUAACGGCUUACCAAGGCAACGAUGCAUAGCCGACCUGAGAGGGUGAUCGGCCACACUGGAACUGAGACACGGUCCAGACUCCUACGGGAGGCAGCAGUAGGGAAUCUUCCGCAAUGGGCGAAAGCCUGACGGAGCAACGCCGCGUGAGUGAUGAAGGUCUUCGGAUCGUAAAACUCUGUUAUUAGGGAAGAACAUAUGUGUAAGUAACUGUGCACAUCUUGACGGUACCUAAUCAGAAAGCCACGGCUAACUACGUGCCAGCAGCCGCGGUAAUACGUAGGUGGCAAGCGUUAUCCGGAAUUAUUGGGCGUAAAGCGCGCGUAGGCGGUUUUUUAAGUCUGAUGUGAAAGCCCACGGCUCAACCGUGGAGGGUCAUUGGAAACUGGAAAACUUGAGUGCAGAAGAGGAAAGUGGAAUUCCAUGUGUAGCGGUGAAAUGCGCAGAGAUAUGGAGGAACACCAGUGGCGAAGGCGACUUUCUGGUCUGUAACUGACGCUGAUGUGCGAAAGCGUGGGGAUCAAACAGGAUUAGAUACCCUGGUAGUCCACGCCGUAAACGAUGAGUGCUAAGUGUUAGGGGGUUUCCGCCCCUUAGUGCUGCAGCUAACGCAUUAAGCACUCCGCCUGGGGAGUACGACCGCAAGGUUGAAACUCAAAGGAAUUGACGGGGACCCGCACAAGCGGUGGAGCAUGUGGUUUAAUUCGAAGCAACGCGAAGAACCUUACCAAAUCUUGACAUCCUUUGACAACUCUAGAGAUAGAGCUUUCCCCUUCGGGGGACAAAGUGACAGGUGGUGCAUGGUUGUCGUCAGCUCGUGUCGUGAGAUGUUGGGUUAAGUCCCGCAACGAGCGCAACCCUUAAGCUUAGUUGCCAUCAUUAAGUUGGGCACUCUAAGUUGACUGCCGGUGACAAACCGGAGGAAGGUGGGGAUGACGUCAAAUCAUCAUGCCCCUUAUGAUUUGGGCUACACACGUGCUACAAUGGACAAUACAAAGGGCAGCGAAACCGCGAGGUCAAGCAAAUCCCAUAAAGUUGUUCUCAGUUCGGAUUGUAGUCUGCAACUCGACUACAUGAAGCUGGAAUCGCUAGUAAUCGUAGAUCAGCAUGCUACGGUGAAUACGUUCCCGGGUCUUGUACACACCGCCCGUCACACCACGAGAGUUUGUAACACCCGAAGCCGGUGGAGUAACCUUUUAGGAGCUAGCCGUCGAAGGUGGGACAAAUGAUUGGGGUGAAGUCGUAACAAGGUAGCCGUAUCGGAAGGUGCGGCUGGAUCACCUCCUUUCU